CGCCUACCUGGGUCUCCGCGGCUUCCUCCGCGGCUCCGUCUGCCCGGGCCGGCCGCCACCAAGAUGGCCCGAUGGCCGGGAUGCGGGCUGGCCGAUGAGUCACGGCGGCGGCAGCCCGCCGGAACUGCUUCCCGGUCAGCUGGUUGAAUCUACAAAUGCGGAACCCGUGGACACGGAGGUCUGAUUCUGCUGAUAUGUGCCACCAUACUGAUGAACCUUGAAAGCAUUAUGAGAAGCGGAAGAAGUGAGACAGAAGAGCUAUAUAUUGUGUGAUUUUAUUUGUAUGAAAUGUCCUCAGUACACAAACCCAGAGAGACAGGGGAGAGUCCUGGUUUCCAGGGUCUGGGGAGAAGAAAAAUAGCAGUGACUGCUGAUCAGGGGACAGAAUUUCUUUUGUGGGGUGAUGAAAAUGCUGGGGUCAAUGCUGAUGAUUGCACGACCUUGUGAGUAUACUAAAACCCACUAAAUUAUAUACUUUUUAAAGGAG